rnacentral:rRNA from 1 species
UACGUAGGGGGCAAGCGUUGUCCGGAAUCAUUGGGCGUAAAGAGCGUGUAGGCGGCCCGGUAAGUCCGCUGUGAAAGUCCAGGGCUCAACCCUGGGAUGCCGGUGGAUACUGUCGGGCUCGAGUCCGGAAGAGGAGUGUGGAAUUCCUGGUGUAGCGGUGAAAUGCGUAGAGAUCCGGAGGAACACCAGUGGCGAAGGCGACACGCUGGGCCGGUACUGACGCUGAGGAGCGAAAGCGUGGGGAGCAAACAGG